GAAAGGGGANCUGGGAACACCGUUUUUACCGGGCUCUAAAAUCCGGGGGGGGAAAACUUCAUGAGAUUAAUACCCCAUAAUAUGUUGGAUGGCAUCAUUCCGACAUUUGAAAACUUCCGGGUUGGGAAUACAAGAAUUGGGCACGCCGCCAAGAAUAAGAAUAAGGUUAGGGUGAAGGUAAACCGGGUUCCAACCAAAGUUCUAACGGAAUCCUUAAAGGGGGGCCUUGAAAAGGUUGAAUCCCCCAAAAUUGGGUUAACUUGGAGAACACGGGAACCCAAGAAAUUCUUAACGGGGAAGGCAACCCAUUUGAAGGAAUUAUUUGGGACCAAUGGGGUUGAAAAAGCCUUGGAAUUCCAAGCCUAUCCCCGGGGGUUGGAAAGGAACGGAAUUGGCCCCUUGAGUUUUAGGGGUUUUGGUAAACUUUUCCCUAUUUAGGCAUAAGGGGGUUAAAAACCUUAACCCUUCGUUAGAAAGGGUUAAACCUGAANGGGUUACCUAAAUAACGGGAAAUUAAAAGCCAACCGGGGGUUAAAANUUCCCCGGGUUNGCCCCAAGACAAACCCGGCGCGGGUAAACAAUUAACCCGGGAAAGGGGGU
rnacentral:rRNA from 1 species